rnacentral:rRNA from 1 species
AGCAGCCGCGGUAAUUCCAGCUCCAAUAGCGUAUAUUAAAGUUGUUGCAGUUAAAAAGCUCGUAGUUGAAUUUCGGGGUUAGCAGGUCGGUCGUGCCAUCGGUAUGAACUGGUCUCGCUGAUCCCUCCCUCUUGACGAACUGUGAUGCCAUUAAUUUGGUGUCGCAGGGAAUCAGGACUGUUACUUUGAAAAAUUAGAGUGUUUAAAGCAGGCUCACGCUUGAAUACAUUAGCAUGGAAUAAUGAAAUAGGACGUUUGAUCCUAUUUUGUUGGUUUCUAGGAUUGACGUAAUGAUUAAUAGGGAUAGUUGGGGGCAUUAGUAUUCAAUUGUCAGAGUGAAAUUUCUGGAUUUAUUGAAGACUAACUACUGCGAAAGCAUUUGCCAAGGUAUGUUUUCAUUAAUCAAAGAACGAAAGUUAGGGGAUCGAAGACGAUCAGAUACCGUCGUAGUCUUAAACCAUAAACUAUGCCGACUAGGGAUCGGAUGAUGUUAAUUUUUAUGUACUCUA